AUGAAACCAUUGAGAGGUGAACGGGUGGGGUCUGUGCAGUCCGCCUGCAGGAUUCAACAUGGCAGGCAGGUCGGUGUCCUGGAUCGGUGGAUGCCCUCGCGGGACUGCUGCCUGGGCACACCCGGCCCCCACAGGGCACAUUUCAUUUGUGACGGUGCUCCGCAACUGUCUCUGGCUCUGCUGGAAAGGCCCCAGGGGCAGGGAGCAUUUGGCAAGUGGGUCUCCGCCCUGGCAAAGAGUGUUACAUCAACCUGACAGCAGCUUUGCUGUGUCCACUGGGCUGAGGGAGAUUGACUGCCACUGCACCCUUCUCCGGCAACCGUCCUGGCCCCUCUUGGUGGUCGCUGGGGCUCCUGAUGCGACUGUCAACUAUGAUGGACUGCCCUCAGUGUGCCCCGAACAUGUUGUGCCCCCAGGCGGGGAGGGCCACGAAGGACGCCAGGAGUCUGAGGUGAUGUCAGUUACCCACCCCACCUGACCCGUCUUGAAACAUGGACCAAGGAGUCUAAAACGUGUGUGAAUCAGAGGACUGAACAAAACCAUGUGGCGCAUUGAAGGUAAGGGCCGCCGCACGUUUGCUGGGGUGAGAUCCCGCCGCGGUGGGCGCACCACUGCCCCAUCUCGACCUGCUCUGUCAGGGAGGUGGAGUAUGAGCGUGUCUGAUAGGACACAAAAGAUGGUGACCUAGGCCUGGGCGGGGCAAAGCUAAAGGAAACUCUGGUGGAGGUCUGUAGCGGUCCUGAUGUACAAGUCGGUCAUCCGACCUGGGUAUAGGGGUGAAAGACUAAUCGAACCAUCUAGUAGCUGGUUCCCUCCGAAGUUUCCCUCAGGAUAGCUGGCGCACGGAAACCCUAGUUUUAUCUGGUAAAGCAAAUGAUUAGAGGUCUUGGGGCAUACAUUAUCUCAACCUAUUCUCAAACUUUAAAUGGGUAAGAAGCCUAGCUCGCUGCCCUGGAGCAUGGCAUCGAAUGCAAAUGCCCAGUGGGCCACUUUUGGUAAGCUGAACUGACGCUGUGGGAUGAACCGAAUGCCAGGUUAAGGCACCCAAUGCCGACGCUCAUCAGACCCGAGAAAAGGUGUUGGUUGAUACUGACAGCAGGGCGGUGGCCAUGGAAGUUGAAAUCCGCUGAGGAGUUUUAACAACUCACUGCCGAAUCAACUAGCCCUGAAAAUGGAUGGCGCCGGAGUGUCUGCCCCAUACCCGCCCCAUACCCGGCCGGCGCUGAGAGCCGCGGGGCUAAGCAGCGAUGAGUGGGAGGGCACUGCAGUGCGCGCAGAAAGCCCAGGCUAGCGCCCGGGUUGAGCCACCGCAGGUGCAGAUCUUGAUGGUAGUGGCAAAUAUUUAAACCAAAACUUUGAAGCCUGAAGUGGAGAAGGGUUCCAUGUAUACAGCAGUUGAACAUGGGUCAUUCGGUCCUACGAAAUGGUCAAUCACCGUUCGGAAGGGACGGGCGAUGGCUCUGUUGCCCUCAGAUGAUCGAAAGAGAGACAGGCACCCUCACGGCGUUCAGUGCGAUAACGCAAACAAUCCCAGAGAAGCUGGUGGGAUCCCGGGGCGAGUUCUGUUUUUUUUGUGAAGGGCAGGGCACCCUGGAAUGGGUUUGCCCCGAGAAAGGGCCCGAGCCUUGGAAAGCAUUGACUUUCCGGUGGCGUCCGGUGAGCUCUCCAUGGUCCUUGAAAAUCCAGGGGCGAUGGUGUAAAUCUUGCCCUGGGCCUUACGCAUAUCCGCAGCAGUUAUCCAAGGUGAACAGCCUCUGUCAUGUUGCAACAAUGUAGGUAAGGGAAGUAGGCAAGUCGCUCUGGAUGUGAGCCGGGUCUUUCCUGUGGAUCUGCCCAGCUGCGGUGGUCGCCUCUCUCCGUUCCCCUCCUGGGGUUCGUGGCCGGCAUUCUGCCUCGGCUGAUACCUAGCAGCUGACUUAGAAUGGGUGUGGACAUGGGGAAUCCGACUGUUAAAUUAAAACAAAGCAUCGUGUAAGGCCCACGGUGGGUUUUGACACAAUGUGAUUUCUGCCUAGUGCUCUGAAUGUCAAAGUGAAGAAAUUCAAUGAAGCAUUGGUAAACGGCAAGCAUAACUACGAUUCUUUGAAGGUAGACAAAUGCUUUGUCAUCUAAUUAGUGACGAGCAUUGAUGGAUGAACGAGAUUCCCACUGUCCAUACCUACUAUCUAGCAAAACCACAGCCAAGGGAACGGGCUUGGCAGAAUCUGGGGCAACAGAAGAUCCCUUUGAGAUUCACUCUAGUCUGGCACUGUGAAGAGACAUGGGAGGUGUAGGAUAAGUGGGAGGCCCUUGGGCCGUCGGUGAAAUACCACUACUCUUAUCGUUUUUUCACUUACCCGGUGAGGUUGGGGGCGAGCCCCAUGCGACUCUCGCUUCUGGCGCUGGGCAUAACCUGCUCCAGAAACAGUGGCAGGUGGGGAGUUUGACUGGGCGGUACACCUGGCAAACCAUAAUGCAGGUGUCCUAAGGCGAGCUCAGGGAGGACAGAAACCUCCCACUGAACAGAAGGGCAAAAGCUUGCUUGAUCUCGAUUUUCAGUAUGACUACAGACUGUGAAAGCGGGGUCUCAGGAUCCUUCUGACUUUUUGGAUUUCAAGCAAGGUGUCAGAAAAGUUAGCACAGGGAUAUCUGGCUUUCAUUGCAACGUUGCUUUUUGAUCCUUCAAUGUUGGCUCUUCCUAUCAUUCUGAAGCAGAAUUCACCAAGUGUUGGAUUGUUCAUCCACUAAUGGGAAACAUGAGCUGGGUUUAGACCCUUGUGAGGCAGGUUAGUUUUACCUUACUGAUGAUGUGUUGUUGCAAUAGUAAUCCUGCUCAGUACGAGAGGAAUCACAGGUUCAGACAAUUGGUGUAUAUGCUUGGCUGAGGAGCCAAUGGGUGAAGCUACCAUGUGUGGGAUUAUGACUGCACACCUCUAAGUCAGAAUCCCCCUAACCGUAAAAAUACUGCAUCGCUGUGGAGCCUCGGUUGGCCUAGGAUAGCCGGCCUCUGGGCCGGUGCGUAGAGCCGCUCGCCUUGGGACUCGAAUGUGAACAGAAGGGGGCCACCUCUUUCGCCCGUAGUGCACCGCAUGUUCGCAGGGAACCUGGUGCUAAAUCAUUCGUAGACAACCUGAUUCUGGGUCUCGUAAGUAGCACAGAGCAGCUACCCUGCUGUUAUCUAUUGAGUAGUGCU
rnacentral:rRNA from 1 species